rnacentral:rRNA from 1 species
GACGAACCGAGCGAACGUUAUUCGGAAUCACUGGGCUUAAAGGGCGCGUAGGCGGGCGGCCAAGUCAGGGGUGAAAGCCUCCAGCUCAACUGGAGAAGUGCCUUUGAUACUGGCCAUCUUGAGGGAGGUAGGGGCGUGCGGAACUUCCGGUGGAGCGGUGAAAUGCGUAGAUAUCGGAAGGAACACCGGUGGCGAAAGCGGCGCGCUGGACCUCUUCUGACGCUGAGGCGCGAAAGCCAGGGGAGCAAACGGG